rnacentral:rRNA from 1 species
UAAAGAAUUUCGGUCAUCGAUGGGGAUGCGUUCCAUUAGCUUGUUGGCGGGGUAACGGCCCACCAAGGCAUCGAUGGAUAGGGGUUCUGAGAGGAAGGUCCCCCACAUUGGAACUGAGACACGGUCCAAACUCCUACGGGAGGCAGCAGUGAGGAAUAUUGGUCAAUGGGCGCUAGCCUGAACCAGCCAAGUAGCGUGAAGGAUGACUGCCCUAUGGGUUGUAAACUUCUUUUAUAUGGGAAUAAAGUGCAGUAUGUAUACUGCUUUGCAUGUACCUUAUGAAUAAGGAUCGGCUAACUCCGUGCCAGCAGCCGCGGUAAUACGGAGGAUCCGAGCGUUAUCCGGAUUUAUUGGGUUUAAAGGGAGCGUAGGCGGGUUGUUAAGUCAGUUGUGAAAGUUUGCGGCUCAACCGUAAAAUUGCAGUUGAUACUGGCAUCCUUGAGUACAGUAGAGGUAGGCGGAAUUCGUGGUGUAGCGGUGAAAUGCUUAGAUAUCACGAAGAACUCCGAUUGCGAAGGCAGCCUGCUGGACUGUAACUGACGCUGAUGCUCGAAAGUGUGGGUAUCAAACAGGAUUAGAUACCCUGGUAGUCCACACAGUAAACAAUGGAUACUCGCUGUUUGCGAUAUAAGUAA